rnacentral:rRNA from 1 species
AGAGUUUGAUCCUGGCUCAGAAUCAACGCUGGCGGCGCGCUUAACACAUGCAAGUCGAACGAGAAAGUGGAGCAAUCCAUGAGUAAAGUGGCGUACGGGUGAGUAACACGUGGAUUAUUUGCCCUUGAGUGGGGAAUAACAAUGGGAAACCGUUGCUAAUACCGCAUAUUCCCGAGAGGGGAAAGCAGCAAUGCGCUCAAGGAGAAGUCCGCGGCCGAUUAGCUAGUUGGUAGGGUAAUGGCCUACCAAGGCUUCGAUCGGUAGCCGGCCUGAGAGGGCACACGGCCACACUGGCACUGAAACACGGGCCAGACUCCUACGGGAGGCAGCAGUGGGGAAUCUUGCACAAUGGGGGCAACCCUGAUGCAGCGACGCCGCGUGAGCGAUGAAGCCCUUCGGGGUGUAAAGCUCUUUCGGUAGGGAAGAUAAUGACGGUACCUACAGAAGCAGCUGCGGCUAACUACGUGCCAGCAGCCGCGGUAAUACGUAGGCAGCAAGCGUUGUUCGGAGUUACUGGGCGUAAAGGGUGUGUAGGCGGCUUUCUAAGUUUGUUGUGAAAUCUCCCGGCUUAACCGGGAGGGUGCGGCGAAGACUGGAAGGCUAGAGUAUGGGAUGGGAGAGUGGAAUUCCUGGUGUAGCGGUGAAAUGCGUAGAUAUCAGGAGGAACACCUG